rnacentral:rRNA from 1 species
GCAAGCAAAUUGUUCCACUUAGUGUUAUUCAUAACACCAAAAAGACCAUUACUAUCAAUUAGUUUAAUGAUAUUUGACUUUAAAUCUAAACGCAUAAAUUCCCAAUACACAUAACGCCGCGUUAAGUGGUGAACAACGCUAGCAACUAAACCUAAACCAUUGCACCGUAAACACUAAAUUCAACUUGAGCUGAAAUCGCCAAG